rnacentral:lncRNA from 1 species
UCCCUCCAACGCUCACAAAGGAGCUUGUCCUUGGCCGUCGUGUAUGCCUUCGUCCGUGUGCUCUUUCGCUUGGGAUGCACCCCGGUGGCUUGGGUGGCGAGCUCGUUCUCGAACAAUGGUUCCCCGUGGAUAUCCACCUUAUCCUCUUCCUCGAGAUCGUAGUCAUCCGAAAACACGUGGUGGAGCGGGAAGUCAUCGAGGUUGAGGCCGACCUGAUCUUGCACGAAGGCGGGCUGCAUGCCAG